AAACGGAUAAUUGAAGCUCGUUACGCGGGUAGUUAGAUACUCGAGCUCCGGCAGCACUGAUCAUUCUUCGACCAUCAUUCUUAAUGUUUGCACGUGUGUGUUUGAGGUUAAGUCUUAUCAUUUCUUAUUGUUUGUUAUCGGCGGUUAUUUUUAAUAUUUAAAAAUGAGGAAAAUCCAAAUCAUUUGUUGUGUUGAAAAAUGACUAGAUAUUUUAAAAGCAAAUUUUUUGGCAUUAAUGUAACAUCUAGUAGUAUAAUGUGUGAGCUACACUUUCCUGAAAACCAAUUUACUAGACUUUUAACAUAUGCUAUUCCUGAUAGCUUCGAUUUCGACGAAGAUUCUGAGUACAAGUGCAAUGACAGAAAAUCCAGUGAAUCACUUUGAUCCUGAAUGUAUAGUUGGUAGAAUUACACAACUUCAAACACCAAAAGCCAUGGGAAAAAUUCAAGAAAUUAAUUUUAUAUUGGAUUUACCGUUCGUGAAAAUGAAGGUGGCAAUCGCAGCAAAAAUAUUAAGCAGCACUAUAGUUGCUUCAAUUGAAUCGAUAGAAGCUUCAAAUAAUCUACCAGCAGAAGCUAUUCACGCUACUGAAUUUAUUAGCGAAGUGGACACGUUAUUUUGAUUCGCUAAACACCAAAAACUUGAAGGCACCCCCAGGGAAAGUAUAUCAAUGUGUUGUGUCUCGGAAUUAACAACAUAUACAAUAUUAGGAGUCGUUAAUAAAAAAAUUUUUUAAUCUCGAACCCCACUUUAUACAUCAGGGCUAAUAAAUACCAUUCAAGUUCUGAAGGGGAUUUAUUAUGAAUUAAAUGAAAAAAAAAAAUAUUUUCAUUGUAAAGACAAGGUGCUGUAUGCAAGACCCAUUACCCAUUGGAAAAAAUUUUUAGCACGGUCCGACAACAUGGUGCUGUAAACAACAACAAGAGCUACAUAGUCUAUUUUAAGUUCACAAAAAAAUAUUAAACAAAAAUUGUGAAACCGACAACAUUAAAUUGUUGAUAAACUUGAAGAACUCUGUUUGCAUGAAAAACCGUUCAAAUUAUCCAGUAGUUCUGCAGGGAAUUUAUUAUGAAUUAAAUGAAAAAAAAAAAAAAUUUUCAUUUUAAAGACAAGGUGCUGUCUGCAAGACCCAUUGGAAAAAUUUGUUAGCACGUUCCGACAACAUGGUGCUGUAAACAACAACAAGAGAUACAUAGUUAAUAUUUUAAGUUAAAAAAAAAAUAUUAAACAAAAAUUGUGAAACCGACAACAUUAAAUUGUUGAUAAACUUGAAGAACUCUGUUUGCAUGAAAAACCGUUCAAAUGAUCCAGUAGUUUUGGAUUCAAAUGAAAUGAUAGGUAUAGAAGAUGUUACUUUUGAAGAAAAUUCAUUUGAAUCGGAAAAUGCUUAUGUAUGUGGAUUUUUUUAAUAAAGAAAUUGAAGAACCAUAACAAGUUGGGAGUUUUCACAAGUCUUGCAACGGAAAACGAAUGCAAUGGAAAUGAUUCAAAUUUACGAAAUAUUCGAAAUAAUAAUAGAAAAGAGUAUAAUAUUUCAUCAAAUAAUAUUAAAUUCAACAUACUUUCACAUUAAUUUGGGCGGGAUUCUCAUGGGUAAAACCGCUUUUCUUUAAGCACUUUCACUACCUUUCGAAAUUGAGCUAGAGGGUUGAAAAUCUGUAUUUAGGUUAAAUUAGUAUCAAGAAGAUCCGUGCGUAGGAAUUAUCCGAGAGGGACUUGAAACUUUGUUCAUCAAUUUAGGCCAUCAAGUCAAUAAAAACAAGAAAAUCUUUUUUCGAAUUUCAGAAGAUUUUAUUCAGUCAAAAUUGUGAUAUUCAUCAUUAUUUUUCAAAAAGCUAAUUCUGCGAGGCAAUUAUAAUUAGGCAACUCAGAAAAAAACUUAUACAAACAUUGUGCGCAUCGACAUCUCCAUGGCUGGCGCCACCCAAUAUUAGCAGAGAUCUGGGGCAGUCAGACUAAAUCAGAUCUGACAACUAACGAUACACAGGGCUGAAACUACAAUAGGGCAACUGAGGCUAUGCCCCCGGGGCAAAAUUUUUUAUCAUUACAAAAUGGGGAUGAUCCAACCGUUUAAAAGGUAUAAGCAGAUGAUAUAAAUGAUUGUAAAGCGUACAAUCCAAUCGUCUUGCGAUAGUGUUGAGUAUGAGUAUGAGUAUAGAGGUUAGCGGGCCAUGCUCGAGCAUCGGGCCUCGAAGCAAUGGUUCAGAGAACUUAGCCAAAUAGACCCGCUAGUGUUGCGAUAGUGUUGCAAUCAAUAUAAUCAAAAUGAGGAUGAACCAUCAUGUGGUCGAUUUUGUAGAGCACGCCAGAAGAGAAAACCAGCAGAAGAAGCGAAAAAAAGGAAUGUACAUGUGAUUUUUGUGAAAGAUUAAAUUGUGAUGCAAGCAACUGUAAUCGAAAAAGAAAGAGAAGUGGAAACGACGAAAGUUGUGGCAAAAAAGGAGGUUGUUGUGGUGGUGGUUGCACUGAAUUCCGUGGCACUUCAAAUCGUUGUAAUUCGUGUUGCGAACCAAAAUGUAAAUGUAAUAAUUAUUUAUUUAUUUAAUUUAA